UAGUGAGUUGAUCCUGGCUCAGAUUGAACGCUGGCGGCAUGCUUUACACAUGCAAGUCGAACGGCAGCGCGGGGCAACCUGGCGGCGAGUGGCGAACGGGUGAGUAAUAUAUCGGAACGUACCCAAGAGUGGGGAUAACGUAGCGAAAGUUACGCUAAUACCGCAUACGAUCUAAGGAUGAAAGUGGGGGAUCCGCAAGAACCUCAUGCUCCUGGAGCGGCCGAUAUCUGAUUAGCUAGUUGGUGAGGUAAAGGCUCACCAAGGCCACGAUCAGUAGCUGGUCUGAGAGGAACGGCCCCACAUGGACACUGAGACACGGGUCCAACUCCUACGGGAGCAGCAGUAGGGAAUAUU
rnacentral:rRNA from 1 species